GAGGGAUUGCUUGCCCUUGUUCAUGAACAGCACGAGCACCAGCACAGGUGUGAUCAGCAUGCUCCUGCAAGACUCAAGAUGCUACCGGGAAGCUUCCUUCACACUCACAACCAAUCUCUGGGGGACCAAGGGUUUGACUGUCCCCUGAGGGAGUGGGAAACUGAUUCCAGUCCUUCUGUCUUUUGGGUGGUUCUGGCCCUGUGGCCAUUUGCUCAGCGUAUGGUUAGCUGUUAGUGACAGCCAGCAGUGAGAAUGCCCUUAGCUGGAUGACAGUGCUCACCUGGACACUCAAGGCUCUGGUACUGAUUUCCAUUGAAACUCCAUUGUUCAUUUUUGGGAAAGAAGCAGUGAGCUGCUGGAGCACCGUGCGUCUGCAGGGGGCUGCUCAUCCCUGCUGGCUCUGAGCGGAAGACAGAUCUUGCAUUGGCACAUGCAGGAGGUAAUGGUUUCUGAUGAGAAAUUCAGAAACCAGCUCUGCAUGAGCACAUAGAAUUCUACUCAGAAAGGAACCAAAUUAUUCCCACAUUCACUCUGAUCAGGUAACUCAGAAAGAUGCCGUUCUUUGAACAGAGAUGCUCACACGCUCGUGCAGCUUCUCUUCCUGAAAGCUCAAGCCAGCUGUCAGCGGCCCAGCACCAGGUACUGAUGGUGUGUGGAGCAUCAGCUCCGGCUGGGGACCUGAAAGCAGAGACCAGUGCUCGGCAUCUGUGACAGCGAUCCUACAAGGAGGUGAUGGGCACCUCCAUUUCCGCGACGGCCUUCAUGAGGGGCCUGAUUGAGAACUUUUUGGAAACUGGAAAAGAGGUAACAGCACAAAGCUCCUUGUGUGUGGAGGAAAAGGUCCUUAUGAAGGCGGGCAAAGUUCCUACUGACCUUGUUGUAAGUGUGCUAAAACCUGAAGGUAAGAUGCAAGCAAAGGUGACGUGAAAUAUCUAAGGCAGCUCUCUGGAUUGAAAGACACCCCGGGAGAAGGUCUGUUCUCCAGGUGGCCAGAGAGGCUGGGGAAUCCCAGUCCAUGAAGAGCUUCAGACUCUGGCUGGAGAAGGAACUAAGAAACUUGAUUCAGCUUUGAUGUUGGUCCUGAUUUGGGCAGAGGUUUGGAUUACAUGGACUAGUGCUCCAGAGGUCUCGUAUCAUACCAGUUUUUCUGUGAUCCUA